rnacentral:rRNA from 1 species
AACGAACGCUGGCGGCAUGCCUAACACAUGCAAGUCGAACGAGACCUUCGGGUCUAGUGGCGCACGGGUGCGUAACGCGUGGGAACCUGCCCUUAGGUUCGGAAUCACUCCCCGAAAGGGGUGCUAAUACCGGAUAAUGUCUUCGGACCAAAGAUUUAUCGCCCUGGGAUGGGCCCGCGUUGGAUUAGCUAGUUGGUAGGGUAAAAGCCUACCAAGGCGACGAUCCAUAGCUGGUCUGAGAGGAUGAUCAGCCACACUGGGACUGAGACACGGCCCAGACUCCUACGGGAGGCAGCAGUGGGGAAUAUUGGACAAUGGGCGAAAGCCUGAUCCAGCAGUGCCGCGUGAGUGAUGAAGGCCUUAGGGUUGUAAAGCUCUUUUACCCGGGAUGAUAAUGACAGUACCGGGAGAAUAAGCUCCGGCUAACUCCGUG